UACGUAGGGACCGAGCGUUGUCCGGAUUCAUUGGGCGUAAAGAGCUCGUAGGCGGCCACUCAAGUCGAAUGUGAAACCUCGAGGCUUAACCUCGAGCCUGCAUUCGAUACUGGGCGGCUAGAGUCUGGUAGGGGGAUCUGGAAUUCCUGGUGUAGCGGUGGAAUGCGCAGAUAUCAGGAGGAACACCGGUGGCGAAGGCGGGAUCCUGGGCCAGUACUGACGCUUAGGAGCGAAAGCGUGGGGAGCAAACAGG
rnacentral:rRNA from 1 species